UGCCUUCGCUAGGGGUGCUGGCUUCACGGCCGGCUGAGAAAGUCCCUUUGAACCUGAUUGAGGUAAUCCUCGCGCAGGGAAGCAUGCCACCCGACAC
rnacentral:ncRNA from 1 species